GCCUUCGUAGCUCAGUCGGCUAGAGCAUCGGACUUUUAAUCCGAGUGUCGCGGGUUCGAGUCCCGUCGGAGGCA
rfam:Tritrichomonas foetus strain K scaffold_762, whole genome shotgun sequence.